rnacentral:rRNA from 1 species
AUUGAACGCUGGCGGCAUGCCUUACACAUGCAAGUCGAACGGCAGCACGGGUGCUUGCACCUGGUGGCGAGUGGCGAACGGGUGAGUAAUACAUCGGAACGUACCUUAUCGUGGGGGAUAACGCAGCGAAAGCUGUGCUAAUACCGCAUACGCCCUGAGGGGGAAAGCGGGGGAUCGAAAGACCUCGCGCGAUUAGAGCGGCCGAUGCCUGAUUAGCUUGUUGGUGGGGUAAAAGCCCACCAAGGCGACGAUCAGUAGCUGGUCUGAGAGGACGGACAGGCACGCUGGGACUGAUACACGGCCCGGACUCCUACGGGGGGCAGCAGUGGGGAAUUUUGGACAAUGGGCGCAAGCCUGAUCCAGCAAUGCCGCGUGUGCGAAGAAGGCCUUCGGGUUGUAAAGCACUUUUGUCAGGAAAGAAAACCAUUGGGCUAAUACCCUAGUGGGAUGACGGUACCUGAAGAAUAAGCACCGGCUAACUACGUGCCAGCCGCCGCCGUAA